CUGUUAUGAUAUUGCCUAAUGCAGGGCCCUUUUAAAAAUUCAUCCGUGAAAGUUUAUUCAGAAUGACAACGUCGUUUUUGUUUUGCUUGAAGAAUUUCUUUGCUUCAUCAAAAGCGGUGCCCUGCAGUUCGCGUCGUGUUUCCAAAGCAAUCUAUUAUUGGCUUUAUUGCUGGCAAUUCCAUAUUUCCACUAUCCACUUAACCCGAUUACAACUAUUGAGAUCAGUUAUUAAGAAACUUGCCCGCGCUUUCUGUUUCAGCGGUUUUCUUCUUUAAUGUCUUUAUUUAUAAUUAAUAUUUAGAAGCAGCUGUGUAUUUACUAUUUUAUAUAUAGAAACUUUUCUCGUUUGGAAAAGGUUUUUCAGCUAGAUUUCUUGUGCAUUUUGUUGGAUAUAAACUUCUGUGGAGAAGACAUAAAAAGUCGAAGAAAUAUCUUAGAUCUUAAGUGAGUAAAUUUAUUUGAAAUUAAGGUAAUCAUUCCAUGUUUCGCACACCAAUAUAGUAAACGUUAUGUAAUGGAUAUUAUAUAGUG